UCUCUCUCUCUCUCUCGUGUGUGUGUGUGUGUGUGUGUGUGUGUGUGUGUGUGUGUGUGCAUGCGCGCGCAUGUGCACAUUAAUGGCAUAAGGAGGGCAGAAUGGAAGGAGAGUCCAUAUUCUCUUCAGGAGUCUGCCUUCCCAUUGUUGCCAAAGCUGGGGUAACAUAAGAGAGCAGGAAACAGGGGCACUGGCAUUUGGACCCUUCUGCUUUCUAUGGAGUUCACUCCUCCAGUUCCUUGAGUCCUGAGUGUAAGAGUCAGUGUGCCCCCACAUCUUCAUGGGACUUAGCAAUCUCUGGAGGCUCAGGAACCCAGGCUGCCAUAUCCCAGCUUGCCUGGCACACUCUGGGUCAUAAGAAUCUGUGUUUCAUUCUCCGCAGCUGGCAGGUAGUCUUGUGCACCCCUCUGUAACAGUAGUUACCAGAGUGAUUAAAGUUUGACUGAAGUAGAAGGAAGGAUCCAGGAGUGCAGGUGGAGGUGACUUAGGCAUGUUUUCAAGGGGGAAGCUCACUGGGACCCCGCCCCUCUAGGCGCUCUCUCCUUGCCAGGCUUCUGGGGGUCCUUUGCAGGAUGUCAAACUAUGGAUCAGAGUUCAAUCAGGUAGGGGUGGGUAUGGUAGUAGGGGACAUCUUUCCCACAGGGCAGUCAGCCCUCUUUGUCUGUCUGUCCAUCUGGUGGGGAGGCCAGAAGAGGGUGGAGGUGGCAGUGGGAAGAGCAGGCAGGCAGGCGGGCGGGCGGGGGCUCAGCGGCAGCCGCGGUCCCGCCUGGAGGUAGACUGUAGUAUCAGCAUCUCCUUUGCCUGCAUUGGCGGAGCAGAUAGUGAUCAGCCAGAAUACCAGAGGUGUGAGGCAGGCAUGACUUCACCCAGGGUGUGCCUGCUCCCUGAGCCCUGCCAGGCCACCCUCCCUGCCCGCUCCCAGCACCCCCCACCCCCACCAGGCUAGACAACAAGCUUCAGCCAGCCACAGCAGGGCCGUCCCAACGCGCUGGCUGGGUCCCAGCCAGCUAGACUCAGGCAGGGAACGAGAUACCUCUUUGGAAUCAGCUUCUACCAAACCCUGAGGGCUUCACGGUGGUCCCAGAUCGUCUCUUGGGCCCUGGGUGCUGGAACACUUUGGGGAUAGAGUUGGAGCCAGGGAGAACUAUUUAGGACUAAAAUCACACGCCAAACCUAUGGGCGAAAAAGAAGGGCCAUUGAUACUCUCAAAUGAUGGAGGAGACUUGGAGGCCCAGCUCCGCUUGGGCCAGGAGACAAAAAUGAGGAAGUAAGAGGCCCAGCAGCAUGGGCCAGCAGAAGGACACCUACUGUGUGUCUGGCACCAUGCUAGCAAAUACCAAUUUGGAAAUCACACCCAGAAAAGCCGGAAAAGAUGGUAGGAAGAAUCUACCAAGCCAAAUAUAUAAAACAUCUCUUGGUAACUGCAUUUUCCAUCCACCCCAAGAUUCCCAUUGUGGCAAGAUGGGCUGUCAAAGUCGAGUGUUAGACCGUGGAACUGGUGUGGACAUGGGUGGUUGCCCCUAGGAGCCAUGUGGGUCCUGACAACCCAAGGACAAGGUCUCAGUUGAGGGUCUGGGGCAGAAAAUGGGCUGGGCGGUCACUGAGAUCCUGUCCUUAGCUCUUGGUGAGGGGCUCCUGCUGUCCCCGCUCGGUCCCAUCCUCACUCCGCUGUCCUCAUUUGCACCUGCGAGCACACUCAGGCCCUUCCCACGCAGCCUCGCUUACCUCCUCUCCUACCCUGCUUGUACCCACCACCUCCACACACACCCUCCACCCACACUCGCAGGCAGGCAGGCAGGCAGGCCUCGGCCAGGAGCUUUGCACAGAGAGCUGGGAAGGCAUCUUUGCACACCGUGGAUCCACCUGGGAUGCUCUUCCUUUCUGUAGCUUCAAGUCGAGUCCCAAAUCCAGCAGGGAAUGGGCACACAGGGCCCAUGUCUAAAGCCCACUUUCCGGGGCUCCUUGUUGCCACUUCCUUCCUUGAGGGUUCAAGUGUCUUCAAGAGCACCCCCGUUCCUCUCUGUGCUUCCCAGGGACCCUUGCUGGGUUGCUGUGUGUGGUUCAUGGUGCCAUUUCUUUGUUUUUAAUUCAGUUUUGUGUUCUCUGACCUUUCCACAUUUGACCUUCUGCUGAACUCUGGGAAACAAGGGAGGAAAAGAUGUGCCCAUUCACAGAGCAACGGGGUCUGAACUGAGCAUGGCCACCAAGCUGGUCACGCUGUUCCCUCGCCUUGCCCCACCUGUCCACGCUCACCUCAGCUCAUUCUCCCUCCUGUGUGUGACAGUCACCCUCCUCCUCCUCCUCAUCUCUCCUGCCUCCCUCACGCCCUUCCUCACACUGUCUCGGGAUGGUUGCUAACACCUCCCUGGUCACGUCCUUGUGUGCUGGGCCAGUAUCGGAGAGCUGUGGGAGUCUCCGAGCCUUCCCUGGCUGCUGGCAAUCUCAGUCUCUUGCUUUGGCACUGAGAGAGGGAGGGCAGGGAGGACCCUGCACAGGUGAGUAGAGGUUCCUCUUGGGCUCUGGGUAAGGGCCUUGGCAAUCUUGAAGGCCUGGAACAUGGUGGAGAGCUGACAGACGAAGGAAACAGGGGAGGAAGAGGCGAGAGAAGAGUUCAAAGUCUGAGAAGAAGUGAUAGAGUAGUCUCUCUUAUUCGUGGCUUCCCUUUCUUCAGCUCUAGCUAGGCAUGGUUGGUCAAGAUCUCAGAAUAUUAAAUGGGAAACUUUAGAAAUAAACAGUGUAUGAGUUUUACGUUGCAUACCGUUCUGAGUUGUGGGAUGAAAUAGCCCUCUCCACUCUGCUUCACCUGGUGGUAAAUUAUUGCUGGUUCAGUGUAUGCACACUGUAUAUGCUAUGCUACCUACGCAAGUCACUUAGCGUCUAUGGGACAAGGUGAUAGCUGUGGAUUUAAGCAUCUACUAGGGAGGGAGGGGUGUUAUAGGAUAUGUCCCUGUAGAUAAAGAAGUACUCCUCGAGGGGUAGCAGACAGGUAUGAUCUCAUCACCAAGCACCCCUAAAAAGCCAGUCUUUGCUUAAUAUAUUUGGGUCUAUCUCAGUACACAUGGGUGACACCACAUGGGAUGCAUAACCUGAUCCCUGGGCUCUAGCUGGCCUCAGCGUUUCGCUCCUGCCGUGGUAGACAGGCGAGGGUCCUCAAGUACUAGGGUUUGGAAAGUGGCAAGCCUCUUUUGAGGCUGGUCUGAUUCUGGGAUUCUCCCAUCUUCCACUUCAUGGGCCCCCAGCAGGCUGUGGGCUUGACACCCCUCAGUUCAACCUUCCAGGAAGCUUUAUAAGGGGUGAGAAAUCAGUGUUCUGGGAAAUUUUGUGAAUUCUGGGCAGCCUCUGGCCCUACCUUGUGUGGAUGGCCUUCAGGCUUUUCUCAGGCACUGGGUCCAAGGUUUCCUUUUUGCUUGUGAUAGCUGGGACCUGAGAGGCUGCCUGGGUCAGGGUAGGAGUGAGGGCUCUGCAGAAGGAGCUGGGCAUUCCUUCUGCUCAGCCUGAUAACUGGUGAGCACUUGGGAAGGUUUUGAUCCAACUCAAGCCACUCUGCAGAUAGCCCUGGGCCCUUCCUUUUGCCUGGGUGGCAGGAGGACCCACCCGAAACCCUGGCGAGGGCUAAGACCUUUGCUAACAGCCAGGAGCCAUCCCAGGAACUCAACCAAGGAUGGUGGCAGUAUCAGCAAGUCCUUUUUUGUCCCCACAGCAUGCACCCGCCCCAGGACAGAGGGGCCUUGGCAGCCUUCAGCCUGGUUAUCUGAUUUGGGGGCUGAUGGGGUUUCUAAUGGGAAAACAAUAUGUUAAUUUCAGAAUGUUCCUGAUUAGAUGAAAAUGAUACGGCUUCAAAGUUACUUCCUUAAUUUAUUCAGAAAAUAACAAGAGAGAAUUCUCUGCUAUGAUCCUUAAUUAAACCGGAGCCUCCACCUCCCAGGCAAAACAGGCUCUGCUUUCCAGGUGUGGGGAACAAAGGCGCCCCUGGCCUGAGUCUCCUAGUGGCCGCCUUGGGGUCUCCACCUAGUCAGGCUGUCAGUUAGCCUGUAGCAGCGUUGGCCGAGGUGGGCAAUAGGUGUAACUCCCCCCAUUGCAGGGACCCCUCAAAUUCAGAGUCAUCCUAGAAUCACAUCAGUCUUCCAUACCUUCAUCCUGUUAAUGACCCAGAUCCACAGUCUUAGUGCACCGAGGUUGGAGCUGGAAUCCCGGGGCAUCUUUAAAUAUGGAACAGCUGUAGAAUAUGGAAGGCACUGAUGGGUCCAGGUAGGAGCUACACUGAGAUCAGCCAAAGAAAACUCAUCCAGGGACUUUGGAGAGGAUGAGACAUAGUUGUAUUGAGGUUACUUCCUUAAUGAAUUUGGAGAGGAUGAGGCAUGGUUAGGUCGAGGUUACUUCCUUAUUUAUCUGGUAGGCCACUAGAAUCAAUGGGAAGGAAGCUGUGGUGGUUUUUUGGGUCCAAAAACACAUAGGAACGGGGACAGAACUAAGGUAGAGGAACUUCACAGCUGGGGUCAGAAUGCCAAAACUUGGAGAGGAAACAAGACAUGCAUCCUCAGUUUCUCUUUUCCUCCCCCUCCCUCUCCUGUAGGCACAACACAUGGCAGACUGUCCUGGAAGCUGGAGGUCAGGGGAGCAUACUUUGUAGAUGAGGCUCCUGGGACACAGGCAAGACAGAAUGAAUGUCGGAACAGAGUCAGAAUGUAGCUCUCAGAUACUGUUCCCGGGCCAUGUGUACCACCACGCUCCCCACCAUGAUGAUAAUGGACUGAACUGUAAGCAAAUCCACCAUGCUGGUCCACUAUACUGAUGGCAUCUUUCUCCUCAAGCCCAGUGAACAGGAAAUGGCAAGCAUGUGGAUGCCCUCACAUGAGAUACGUGUAUCAAGAGUGCAGGUUUCCAGUGCAUGGUAUGGAAUCACCUACAUUGAAGUUCUGUUUCCUGGUCUGCAGAGAUGUGAACAAACAGCCUCACACUCCACCGCCACCAACUCCAGCUGCUCCGACAGCCACGUUCCUCAGCACGGUGGACGGUCACCUCCAACUGUGAACCGAGAUGAGUUCUUCCUCCCUCAGGUUGCUUUUGGUCAGCUUUUUGGUUAGAGUAACAAGGAAAUCAAUCAAUACAACCAUUAAAAAUGUAAUAAUCACUAAAGGCCGUGUCAGUGGUAUUUCAGAAUGACCUGGACCUGAUGACUAUUCCCCUGAGCUUAGCUGAGACUCAGUAAAUGUGUGCUGGGCCACAGAAGAGGUAGAUAUACUCGGGGACACUUAGGAGUCUGUUAAUCAUGCUGUUAAAUGCAUUUUUUAUUUUUUUAAAUAGAGUUUAAAAUAAUGUCUGUCAUAGUAGGAACUCAAUAAAUAAUUGUUCAACUA